rnacentral:rRNA from 1 species
ACCCGCAGCUAAGGUCCCAAAGUCAUGGCUAAGUGGUGAACGAAGUGGGAAGGCAUAGACAGCCAGGAGGUUGGCUUAGAAGCAGCCACCCUUUAAAGAAAGCGUAAUAGCUCACUGGUCGAGUCGGCCCGCGCGAAAGAUUUAACGGGGCUAAGCCAUGCACCGAAGCUCGGGGUUUACUCUUCGGAGUAAGCGGUAGAGGAGCGUUCCGUACGCCUGUGAAGGUGGAUCGUAAGGUCUGCUGGAGGUAUCGGAAGUGCGAAUGCUGACAUGAGUAACGAUAAGGGGGGUGAAAAGCCUCCCCGCCGAAAGCCCAAGGUUUCCUAGCGCAACGUUCAUCGGCGCAGGGUGAGUCGGUCCCUAAGGCGAGGCGGAAACGCGUAGUCGAUGGGAAGCUGGUUAAUAUUCCAGCACUUUAUCGCAGUGCGAUGGGGGGACGGAGAAGGGUAGGUGUACCGGGCGUUGGUUGUCCCGGGGAAAGGAGGUAGGCAUGAGGCGUAGGCAAAUCCGCGCUUCUUUAUGCCGAGCACCGAGACGAGUCCUUUUAGGACGAAGUCACUGAUCCCACGCUUCCAGGAAAAGCCUCUAAGCUUCAGCUGCGAUAGAACCGUACCGCAAUCCGACACAGGUAGGCAGGGUGAGAAUCCCAAGGCGCUUGAGAGAACUCGGGUGAAGGAACUAGGCAACAUAGCACCGUAACUAUAACGGUCCUAAGGUAGCGAAAUUCCUUGUCGGGUAAGUUCCGACCUGCACGAAUGGUGUAACGACAGCGGCGCUGUCUCCACCCGAGACUCAGUGAAAUUGAAAUCGCUGUGAAGAUGCAGCGUUCCCGCGGCAAGACGGAAAGACCCCGUGAACCUUUACUAUAGCUUUACAUUGAACGUUGAGUUCGUCUGUGUAGGAUAGGUGGGAGGCAUUGAAGAGUGGUCGCCAGAUCGCAUGGAGCCAACCUUGAAAUACCACCCUGAUGUGCUUGACGUUCUAACCUGGGUCCGUAAUCCGGAUCGGGGACUAUGUAUGGUGGGUAGUUUGACUGGGGCGGUCUCCUCCCAAAGAGUAACGGAGGAGCUCGAAGGUACGCUCAGCGCGGUCGGACAUCGCGCACUGUGUGCAAAGGCAUAAGCGUGCUUGACUGCGAGAUCGACGGAUCAAGCAGGUACGAAAGUAGGACUUAGUGAUCCGGUGGUUCUGUAUGGAAGGGCCAUCGCUCAACGGAUAAAAGGUACUCCGGGGAUAACAGGCUGAUUCCGCCCAAGAGUUCAUAUCGACGGCGGAGUUUGGCACCUCGAUGUCGGCUCAUCACAUCCUGGGGCUGUAGCCGGUCCCAAGGGUAUGGCUGUUCGCCAUUUAAAGUGGUUCGCGAGCUGGGUUCAGAACGUCGUGAGACAGUUCGGUCCCUAUCUGUCGUGGGCGUUGGAGGUUUGAGAGGGGCUGCUCCUAGUACGAGAGGACCGGAGUGGACGAAUCCCUGGUGUUCCGGUUGUCACGCCAGUGGCACUGCCGGGUAUCUACAUUCGGAAGCGAUAACCGCUGAAAGCAUCUAAGUGGGAAGCGCGCCUCAAGAUGAGACCUCCCGAGCCAUAAGGCUCCUAAAGGAACCAUGAAGACUACGUGGUUGAUAGGGUGGGUGUGUAUCGCAGUAAUGCCGAGCUAACCACUACUAAUGAUCCGUGCGGCUUGACCG